UGCCAUAUGUAUACACAUAUAAGGUAAUUUCCUGCCCAGUGACGAAAGUUCAACGGCCGCGGUAUCCUAACCGUGCAAAGGUAGCAUAAUCACUUGCCUAUUAAUUGUAGGCUAGAAUGAACGGAUCAACGAAAUAAAACCUGUCUCAGUUAGCAACCUAAAAAUUAUUCUCCAUACGAAGAAAUAUGGAUAAAAUCGAAGGACAAGAAGACCCUAUAGAGCUUUAUUUAAGUCACAGACUAUAAUCUAGUGUAAUAAUUCGGUUGGGGCGACCAAGGGAAUAAAUAUCACCCUGUAACACAAAGAUCUAUAAAUCCUGUAAUUGACCCUUAUAAGAUCACAAGAUCAAGCUACCUUAGGGAUAACAGGCUAAUCCCACUCAAGAGUCCAUAUCAACAGUGGGGUUUGGCACCUCGAUGUUGGCUUAGGUAACUAUGCAGCGCAAAAGCUACAUUAUGUUGGUUUGUUCAACCAAUAAUUUCCUA
rnacentral:rRNA from 1 species